CUGCAGAUCAAAGAAAACGUUAAAAACCUUACACGCCCUCCCACCCUUCUUUCCCUUUCCUUUGCCUCUUCUUCUUCGUUCCCUGUGUAUCAUCUCUUCUCCAUCUUUUCUUUUCCAUUUCGAGCUAGGGUUCAAAAAAACCCAAAAACAACCCUUCUGUAUCUCAGUUUCUCUCUGAAAUACAUACCCCAUCUUUGCUUAAAACUGCAAUUGCUAAAGUUUUUGUUUCAAAAUUCAAAUGGAUUUCAAACACCCGCCUCUAAAUUCCCUCUUCAUUCAAAUGCCAAAAACCCUAAUCAGAUUUCAAAAUAUUUCUCUUUCAUGGUUCUCUUUCUCGCUCUCGAAUGGCUUCUGGUUGUCGAAUCGACUUUCCGGCAAAGUUGGCUAGGGUUCAGGCCGAAUUCCGCUCACACAGGUAAGUCCGGUGCCAAAGAUUUCAUGUUUGGAUGCAUCAAUUUCAUUUUUAUCAGUGGCAUGCGACCCUCUCUAUGUUGAACAAAUGUCAGCAUCAUCUUGCUUCCACUCCACUGAAGAGGUAUGUGGUUAUGCACUCGUGGUCACUCUAGUCACUCGAUGGUUUUGUGGAGGAUGUGCUUGAUCUAUUGAUUUUGUUUGUGAGUUUUUGUAUUUUGGUACUUAGAAUCUGUAUGCACGCCAGGUGUUUGUUAAAAUAUUUUUUUUAUCAACAGUAACUUUGUGGUUAAUAUUGUACUAAUUAUCAAAAUUGUACUAAUUAUCAAUAUUUGAAUGUUAAAAGAUGAUGAUUUGAUGCAGGGGUGUUGAUGUAGCUGUUAAAUGACAACCGAAACGACCUCAUCCACCUAUUUUGAAUUGUAAAAAAUGUGGUUUUGGAAGAUUAUUUCAAACUUCUAGAGUAAAUGAUAAAAGUCAGAUUGCAAGUCUUUGUGUAUUAUUUGAUUUCUUUUUUGUUAAAGUCACUUUUUUAAAAUCAGAGCAUGCAUAUAUAAGGCUUUGUCAUAAAUCUUACAAUUUACACUCUCUAAUGGUCUAUUUCUUUACACAUAUUGUUAGUUUGGUUGACUAGACAUAUAAGAUUGUUAAUUCUUUUGCCUAUGAAAAGUUUUUAAAAAAAUUCAGGUUUACCAUCUUUUAUAAAUAUUUCCAAGCUUUAACCAAGCACACAUCUUUACAUAAGUGAAUUUGGCCUUUCGGCUCUCAAUCAACCCUCUUAAUAUAUACCAUGUUUACCAAUACUUAUACCUGAACUUUUACAAAAGAUGGUCUUUAUAGUGGGGAUAAUGUUCAAUAUUUAAUGGGCAAGAUGCAAGUUGAAUGUAGUAUAGAAUGUAUCAAAUUCCAAGUUUAUGUCUAAAUCGUUUUAUAAAAAAAAGUUUCAUUUUUAUUGUUGUAACAUAGUCUUCUCAAGUUUUUAAAACAAAAAAUUGUGAUUAAACCCAUCCCGACCCGUUUGACCUCUUACCUGUUACUUGAAGUUGAAGAUUUGGACUUUGUUCACGCGUUUUAUUGUGUUGUUGCAACGUUUACACCCCUCGGGUACAUACAUACAUGUUUUUCAACAACUGGCAGCCGUGUGUUUGCUGUGUUUUGGAUCUUAUUGGGUACGGUUUAUGUAGCGCAGUUGCUGUUCACUUUCGCUUUGCUGUACACCGAAUGAAAGCAAAGAUCGUUGGUUAAAUGGGUUCUUAAAAGAAAUACAAUGACUUCUGACCUCGAGGCAGCUGAUUUUGAUGGCGAUGGAGUCGUCGUGUUAGUAGAAAAUAUAUAAAAUAUUAUAUAACAAGAAUUUAAUAACUUAAUAAGCUUCUGGCAUGAUGUUUUGGUAUUCAACAGGGCUGCAGAGUAUGUUUUGUACAAGUUAAAAGAGAUGGGAAAGAUCAGCCAAGACGACAUCACACCGAUUAAGGCAAUUUAAUGAAACUUAAGUUCAGAUGCUGCUGGUGAAGCCGGUGAGUGUGGUAGUUUGGGAGGUAGAAACUGUGAUAUCAAAACAUCCUUCGUGAUCGGAGUCAUUGGACUUCCAGACAACGGCUUCAUAUAAAUGUAAUGACUUUUAUAGUGUAAAGCAGCAUUACUUGAUCUUUGCACCAGUUCAAUACAAGACGUUGUUGUGGUUAGCAAGAUGGUACAUGAAAGUUAUUUUAUUUUUAUUAAUGAUAAUUGUUCUUGCUACAAAAAGACAAGUAUGAUGGUUUAAAAAGUCCACUAUACAUCUUUUAAGAUGAAUAUGUAUCUUUUUUAAGCUACAAUCUUUGUCAUAACUUUAUUGUCUAUGAGAUAGUUCUUAUUUCAAUGUAUAAAGUUGUGUUUGAACUUGAUUAUUAAAUGCUUUAGACUAUUGUAAUGGAUCUUUAAGGUGUAGGCAAUUAAUGAAUCUUUAAGGUGUUUGCUAUUUUGGUUUAUUUUAGAAAUCACUAGAGGUUUUAAUUUGUUCCUUUGCAUGGAUGGAUUAAAAUUUGAUAAGUAUUUAUUUUUACUGCGUAUAUAAUGAUUUGCUUAAAGGGCUGAGUUAUUGGAUCAUGGAUCAGCCCAAGAGUUGCCCAAAAUAUGGACAUACAUAUAAGGUUUGCUUAUUGUGUUGGUUGAUUGAUCACAUUUUUUGGUUAGUUGAAUUAUAUAAAUGGACCGGGAUCAGAUCAUGCAGCAGCCUUUUUACAGUCCUAACCCAACAUGACCCUGGUUGUUCAAACCAUUCUAAAAUGACUUAUUUCAAUAUGAACCGGUUUUGACUCCUUAGCUAAACUGCAGGACCCUCCCCCAUCUUGCUUGCUGACAUGUCAAUAAGUAAACCUGCAGAUAUACGUGUAUCUUACACUUAUUUUCAAGACAAAGCGUCAGUCUAUGAAAGAUACCAUUUUCGUUUGAUUUUCAAUGUUAGUGAUUUUCACCGCAUUCAUGACGUUUUGUUUCUCUAAAAUUCAUUUAAAUCUGAAGAUAUCUGGGUCAGUUGGACAUAUUGUUAGGAUCAUGGCAUUGACAUCUUACACCAAUUCUCAAGUAGAUAUGAUGACACAGUAUGGCGCUAUUAUUCUUUGCUCUUAUUGUUUACAUUAACAUCUUUAAUCAUUAAAUAUACAUGCCAUUAGGAUUGAGAUUGUUGGUGUAUGCACACCGAGUGAUUGACAAAUAAGGGCGGCGGAUAAACAGGAGCGACGACAAAGGUUGUAACUCAGUUAUGCCUUUUCGGUUUCAUAUCCGAUAUACGACAAUCGAUGAACAUACCACUGAACAAAUCAAGCGAAUUCAAGAAGAAAGGUGUGGCUUUGGUGUUGAGAUUAAUAGAUGUGCUUUUGUGUUACUAUCUUCGCAUUGAGAGGAGAGCUCUGCCGUUUCGGUGGCCGGAAAAUUUAUCCAGGAAGUAGUAUUCGAUUCAUCCGAAUGGACUACUGAUAUGAUGCAUUUUUGUUUGUAAUAUAUUUUUUUUACCUAAUAUAUUAAAUAAACAUUAAUAAUGUUUUCACUCUACGUAUUUAUAUUUUUUAUAAUAUUUUGAAAAUUCAAGAUACCAA